GCAAGUCGAGCGGACCGACGGGAGCUUGCUCCCUUAGGUCAGCGGCGGCCUGGUGAGUAACACGUGGGUAACCUGCCUGUAAGACUGGGAUCUCUCCGGGAAACCGGGGCUAAUACCGGAUGCUUGAUUGAACCGCAUGGUUCAAUCAUAAAAGGCGGCUUCGGCUGCCGUUUACAGAUGGACCCGCGGCGCAUUAGCUAGUUGGUGAGGUAACGGCUCACCAAGGCGACGAUGCGUAGCCGACCUGAGAGGGUGAUCGGCCACACUGGGACUGAGACACGGCCCAGACUCCUACGGGAGGCAGCAGUAGGGAAUCUUCCGCAAUGGACGAAAGUCUGACGGAGCAACGCCGCGUGAGUGAUGAAGGUUUUCGGAUCGUACAGCUCUGUUGUUAGGGAAGAACAAGUACCGUUCGAAUAGGGCGGUACCUUGACGGUACCUAACCAGACAGCCACGGCUAACUACGUGCCAGCAGCCGCGGUAAUACGU
rnacentral:rRNA from 1 species